CCCUUAGAUGUCCUGGGCUGCACGCGCGCUACACUGAUGUGUCCAGUAAGCACCUAACCUCUUCCGAAAGGAACGGGUAACCUUUGCAAAGCACAUCGUGAUGGGGAUAGAUUAUUGCAAUUAUUAGUCUUGAACGAGGAAUUCCUAGUAAGCACAAGUCAUCAGCUUGUGUUGAUUACGUCCCUGCCCUUUGUACACACCGCCCGUCACUCCUACCGAUUGAAUGUUCCGGUGAGCUCUUCGGACUGCGCGGUCUGCAGUUUCUGCGUUCCGUGCGGAAAGUUGCGCAAACCUUAACAUUUAGAGGAAGGAGAAGUCGUAACA
rnacentral:rRNA from 1 species